UGCGUAGGGCGCAAGCGUUGUCCGGAAUUAUUGGGCGUAAAGAGCUCGUAGGCGGCUUGUCACGUCGGGUGUGAAAGCCCGGGGCUUAACCCCGGGUCUGCAUUCGAUACGGGCUAGCUAGAGUGUGGUAGGGGAGAUCGGAAUUCCUGGUGUAGCGGUGAAAUGCGCAGAUAUCAGGAGGAACACCAGUGGCGAAGGCGGUGGUCUGGGCCGGAACUGACGCUGAGGAGCGAAAGCGUGGGUAGCAAACAGG
rnacentral:rRNA from 1 species